AUUGAACGCUGGCGGCAGGCCUAACACAUGCAAGUCGAGCGGGGUUUUCGGACCUAGCGGCGGACGGGUGAGUAAUGCGUAGGAAGCUACCCGAUAGAGGGGGAUACCAGUUGGAAACGACUGUUAAUACCGCAUAAUGUCUACGGAACAAAGUGUGGGACCUUCGGGCCAAAUUCUAUCGGAUGCGCCUACGAGGGAUUAGCUAGUUGGUGAGGUAAUGGCUCACCAAGGCGACGAUCCCUAGCUGGUUUGACGAGGAUGAUCGGCCACACUGGAACUGAGACACGGUCCAGACUCCUACGGGAGGCAGCAGUGGGGAAUAUUGGACAAUGGGCGCAAGCCUGAUCCAGCCAUGCCGCGUGUGUGAAGAAGGCCUUCGGGUUGUAAAGCACUUUCAGUAGGGAGGAAGCGUUGUGUGUUAAUAGUACACAGCGUUGACGUUACCUACAGAAGAAGCACCGGCUAACUCUGUGCCAGCCGCCGCAGUAAAAC
rnacentral:rRNA from 1 species